rnacentral:rRNA from 1 species
AUUGAACGCUGGCGGCAGGCCUAACACAUGCAAGUCGAACGGUAACAGGAAGAAGCUUGCUUCUUUGCUGACGAGUGGCGGACGGGUGAGUAAUGUCUGGGAAACUGCCUGAUGGAGGGGGAUAACUACUGGAAACGGUAGCUAAUACCGCAUAACGUCGCAAGACCAAAGAGGGGGACCUUCGGGCCUCUUGCCAUCGGAUGUGCCCAGAUGGGAUUAGCUUGUUGGUGGGGUAACGGCUCACCAAGGCGACGAUCCCUAGCUGGUCUGAGAGGAUGACCAGCCACCGGGGAGCGGAACAACGGCCCGGACGCUUAGGGGAGGACGCAGGGGGAAAUAUUGCAAAAGGGGCGCAGGCUGGAUGCGACCAUCCGGCGUGUAGGAGGAAGGCCUGCGUGUUGUAAAGUACUUUCGGGGGGGGGGAAGGGAUAAAAGUUAAUACUUUUGCUAAUGGACUUUCCCCGAAAAAGAACCACCGGCAAACCCGGUC